rnacentral:rRNA from 1 species
GACGUAGGUGGCAAGCGUUGUCCGGAGUUAUUGGGCGUAAAGCGCGCGCAGGCGGUCCUUUAAGUCUGAUGUGAAAGCCCACGGCUCAACCGUGGAGGGUCAUUGGAAACUGGGGGACUUGAGUACAGAAGAGAAGAGUGGAAUUCCACGUGUAGCGGUGAAAUGCGUAGAGAUGUGGAGGAACACCAGUGGCGAAGGCGACUCUUUGGUCUGUAACUGACGCUGAGGCGCGAAAGCGUGGGGAGCAAACAGG